rnacentral:lncRNA from 1 species
UUGCUCUGCCAACUCUGCUCUGGUUAGCUAUGCUCUGGACUUUUCCCUCUGCCUAUUUCUCACAGCUUCUUUGCUCCCUGCUGCUCAUCUUUGGUAUUCCAAGCAAAGCCACGUGUCCUGAUCUUAGGACCUUGCAUAUUUCACCCCUCAUCAGAGUUGAUAAAAUAUAUUGCUUCCAUGCAACAAUCACAACACGCUUGAUAGCAGAUGCCAAAAUUCUUUCCAAAAUUUGUUCUUUCUAAAAUAAUAAUAAUUCUAUAUUUAAAAUAGUGAAACGCGUUAUUAAAUUAGGAAACUAAUUUAAUACUUAUCAUAGGUGUGUAGGAAGAAUCAAGGCAGAUCAGGAAAUGGAGGUAUCAAAACAGAGAAGUCGUCGGUGGGGUGGGGGUCGACGGCACGGUGGACAAACUCCAGGGCUCAGCGGUGACUCGGCAGCGGACGAACCGCAAGCUCAGCGGCGACUAUUUCGCCGGAGUCUAGAAGAAGGAACGGCA